rnacentral:lncRNA from 1 species
AAACUUUACCACAAUGCGAACUGAUUAUUUAAGGAAAUUAUUAUUGGAAACUCCAGAUGUUGCGAGAAAGAUAUUUAUUGAAGCUGAAAAUAAUUGGGAAUUUAGAUCCAUACGCAAUUCAGUCAGAAUUAGAUUUUACAGUAAAGUGCAGUCCAUCAAGUUACUAUUAUAGAUAUUUAUACAUAUCUGGUGGAGUCUGAUAUGUCACAGUUGCUACUCUAAGCAGCAGAUGAAAGCAUACAAAAGCCUUCAGGCACAUAAAUAUUUUACAGCUGGAUUUGUUUUGAAUGGAGUAAAAAUUGUUAAUGAUUUCCUGAUUUCCAUAUUAUUGUUGGAAAGGUAUGCCUUUAUUUUAUUUAUUCACCAUUAAGAAAUAUAUGGAUAACAGUAUUAGUGUCUUUUGGAUAAAUUGGUUUUAAAUAUUAGAUUUAUUUACGUUUAUAUAUCUGUAUGAAACCAGACAUA